rnacentral:rRNA from 1 species
UUACUGGGCGUAAAGCGCAUGCAGGCGGCCUGUUAAGUCAGAUGUGAAAGACCCGGGGCGUUAACCUCGGAAUUGCAUUUGUAAACUGGCAGGCUAGAGUCUUGUAGAGGGGGGUAGGAAUUUCUAGGUGUAGCGGUGAAAUGCGUAGAGAUCUGAAGGAAUACCAGUGGCGAAGGCGGCCCCCUCGGACAAAGACUGACGCUCAGAUGCGAAAGCGUGGGGAGCAAACAGGAUUAGAUACCCCUGGUAG